rnacentral:rRNA from 1 species
GGUGACUGCCGGCUAAAAGUCGGAGGAAGGUGGGGAUGAACGUCAAAUCAUCAUGCCCUUAUGACCUGGGCUACACACGUGCUACAAUGGGCGGUACAAAGGGUCGCGAACCCGCAGGGGAGCCAAUCCCAAAAAGCCGCUCUCAGUUCGGAUUGCAGGCUGCAACUCGCCUGCAUGAAGCCGGAAUCGCUAGUAAUCGCGGAUCAGCAUGCCGCGGUCGAAUACGUUCCGGGCCUU